CGGUAAAAGAAAAGGUCUGGGGUGACCUCUCCAAACGUUACCAGGAUCAUGACAUAAUGGCCUUUCUGGAGGAGGCCACUCUUAUGGAUCCAAGAUUCAAGGAAAGCUGAGUUCUUCUGAUGAAGUUUGGGAACGACUGAAGGCAGCAGCAUUGAGGGAAAUGUUAGGAGAGGAGGAUGCAGUGCCAGUGGAGGCUCAGGAAGUGGAAGUGGAUGAGGAUGAAGAGGAUGAAGAGGAGGAGGUGGAAAAUGUAAGUAAGACAUGAUUCUGUAAUACCAAUGCUAUAUGUUCUAACAAAAGCAAUAAGCCUGAAUACAUUUACAUGGUAAAUAUUAUAUUUCAGCCUCAUGUCAAGAAACCCAGGGUCUCUGCACUGGAGGAACUCUUCGCUGAAGAGGAUAAAGAGCUGCGGAGGAGCCUUAUUCAACAGGAAACAACAGCGCCAACAAUCCUCGAGAACAUCAGGAAUGAGCUGUCCGUCUACAGAGGCCUCCUUCCCAUCCCUACAUCAGAAGACCCUGUCCACUGGUGGUGGAGAAAGAAGGAAACUUUUCCUGUCCUCUCAGCUCUCCACCACCUACCUCUGUGUUCAAGCCUCCUCAACGCCUUCUGAAAGAGUGUUCUCCACAGCUGGCAACACUCUCAGUAAGGAGAGAUCUCGGCUUCUCCCGGAGAAAGUGAACAUGCUUA